AGAGGAGAAAGAAGUAGAGAGGAGAAAGAUGUAGAGAGGAUCUUUCUCCUCUCUACUUCUUUCUCCUCU
rnacentral:pre_miRNA from 1 species